GAUGAACGCUAGCGGCAGGCCUAAUACAUGCAAGUCGAACGGUGUCUUCGGACAUAGUGGCGCACGGGUGCGUAACACGUAUGCAACCUACCUUACAUUGGGGGAUAGCCUUUCGAAAGGGAGAUUAAUACCGCAUAAGACAGUAGCUGGGCAUCCAGCAGCUGUUAAAGAUUUAUCGAUGUAAGCUGGGCAUGCGUCCAAUUAGCUAGUUGGUGAGGUAACGGCUCACCAAGGCAAAGAUUGGUAGGGGAACUGAGAGGUCAAUCCCCCACCCUGGCACUGAGCUACGGGCCAGGCUCCUACGGGAGGCAGCAGUAGGGAAUAUUGGGCAAUGGACGCAAGUCUGACCCAGCCAUGCCGCGUGCAGGAUGAAGGCGUUAUGCGUUGUAAACUGCUUUUAUACAGGAAGAAACGACUCUUGCGAGAGGCAUUGACGGUACUGUAUGAAUAAGCACCGGCUAACUCCGUGCCAGCCGCCGCCGCCGUAA
rnacentral:rRNA from 1 species